GGGUGAGUAACACGUGGGUAACCUGCCUUAAAGUCCGUGAUAACACUUGGAAACAGGUGCUAAUACCGCAUAACCAUCAAAACCACCUGGUUUUGAUGUUAAAGAUGGUUCUGCUAUCGCUUUAAGAUGGACCCGCGGCGUAUUAGCUAGUUGGUGAGGUAACGGCUUACCAAGGCAAUGAUACGUAGCCGAACUGAGAGGUUGAUCGGCCACAUUGGGACUGAGACACGGCCCAAACUCCUACGGGAGGCAGCAGUAGGGAAUCUUCCACAAUGGACGAAAGUCUGAUGGAGCAACGCCGCGUGAGUGAAGAAGGUUUUCGGAUCGUAAAACUCUGUUGUCAGAGAAGAACGUGUGUGAGAGUAACUGUUCACGCAGUGACGGUAUCUGACCAGAAAGUCACGGCUAACUACGUGCCAGCAGCCGCGGUAAUACGUAGGUGGCAAGCGUUGUCCGGAUUUAUUGGGCGUAAAGGGAACGCAGGCGGUCUUUUAAGUCUGAUGUGAAAGCCUUCGGCUUAACCGAAGUCGGGCAUUGGAAACUGGGAGACUUGAGUGCAGAAGAGGAGAGUGGAACUCCAUGUGUAGCGGUGAAAUGCGUAGAUAUAUGGAAGAACACCAGUGGCGAAAGCGGCUCUCUGGUCUGUAACUGACGCUGAGGUUCGAAAGCGUGGGUAGCAAACAGGAUUAGAUACCCUGGUAGUCCACGCCGUAAACGGUGAAUGCUAAGUGUUGGAG
rnacentral:rRNA from 1 species